GACGUAGGGUGCGAGCGUUGUCCGGAUUUAUUGGGCGUAAAGAGCUCGUAGGCGGCUCGUCGCGUCGACCGUGAAAACCCGCGGCUUAACUGCGGGCUUGCGGUUGAUACGGGCGGGCUAGAGUUCGGUAGGGGAGACUGGAAUUCCUGGUGUAGUGGUGAAAUGCGUAGAUAUCGGGAGGAACACCAGUGGCGAAGGCGACUUCCUGGCCUGUUCUUGACGCUGAGGCGCGAAAGCUAGGGGAGCAAACGGG
rnacentral:rRNA from 1 species